rnacentral:misc_RNA from 1 species
CGGACACUGAAUCAUAUAUAAACAACUCUUGCUCACGAAUUCCGCGGAUAUACUGCACGCAUUGCGAGAAGACAAGUACCACGAUGAGAACGCUAAGUAGGAUUGUAAAGAAGCCUCCUCUCGAAGAUGAUUGUCUCCUAUAUUCCUUAGAAAAUUUUGGGAACGCAUCGAAGGCCCGAAUGUUAGCAGGAACCCUGCUUCGAAGCAUGUUGUCAAAAGUGGUGGAAGUCUUGGUCAAGGAGCAUGAGGAGAUCAGGUCCAUCAAGACUAGACGUCCCAGCUAAUUAGCUCUUAGGUGAAAAGAAGGAAUGACAAUAAGCACACUGUACAAUGUAGGGAAAAUAAAAGAAAUUGUAAAUGUGCUUUUUUAGAUAUGGAGUAAUAGAUUUUUUAUGAGCAUGAAAACGCAAUAACACAGGCCAAAAAUUUUUUUGCUUAGGUUAAAGCAAUAAAUAGUCCAAAGAUGGAUUGGUAGAAAUAUCGUUUUCCUAAGCAAAAAUUCUUGUGUGCAAAGAGCACUGCUUCAUGUUGGGAUCCAUGAGGAUCCAUUAUCCAGUUGAUGCACUCCUAUCUUCUAUCUCCUCUUACAAAUAUUUUAAAUUUUUCUCUAGCAACGGACAGUUUUUACUACAGAUGUUCUACGAAGCAAGGCUCAUUUUUCGUAAACUUAGACGGGUUUGAUUCACUGAAGACAAAUCCCCACUCAGCUAACUCUACGAAAAUUAGCAAGAGAAAGAGGCAAUAACAUGGUUUACAGAAUUAACAUUAUUAAUCGCAACUAAAAUACACACAAUUGUUUUAAUGUAUUGAUCGGGAGUAUUAAAUUCUACUAAUGUGAUUCUAUGUGGACAUGCUUCAAAACCAUCAAAGCACAGCAUACCAUCGUCUGCUAUACCUAGUUAUCUUGGUUCAACCUCCUUUGUUGCACUUGGAAACUGCUGCUUGAGGGCAACCUUAAUACACUGAAUAGGGUUGUUCGCUCAAACCAGCAAAAGUCUUUUCAUGCACGUAGACUGACAUUGUUGAACUCAUAUGAAACCCUAACGGUCAGGCAUGCACGAUGGUACAGAAAGCCCCGCUAGAAUUGUUGUCAUAGAAUGAUACAACCUCAGUCUAAGUUUGAAAGUUUAAAACUUUCUUACUACUCCCCCACAUAGGAGGAAUUCUCCCACUUGAAAAUCUGGGGACUAAGUCUUAUGACUUAUAAGUAGAUGGGUAUCCCACUCAGGACCGCGGCUCCCACUUUGUCAAUAGCUAGGUGAGGGUGAUAGAAAUAACAUCUAGGUAAAUAGUAGUUAUAAUGGUAUUAGCUUAAGACACACACUCUCUGAUACACAGUGUUUCAUAGCCAGCAUCCGUGAUCCCAAACAUUCCUAGUUCAACUUUCCAUUCUAUUUCGGAUCACAGUAUCCGUUUUUGGAAAAGCUCAUCAUAUAAAUACAGCGACUUGUUAAUUACAAGUUUCAUAGCCAAACAUGAACAAUCAAUCAAUCCCGCAUGAAGUUUGAACAACGAUUUAUUCUUCAUACGGCAGUAUGAAAUUUUUUGCUUAUAAAAUGCUUUCAAUCAACGUUUUACAGUAGUUUGUAAUCCAUAAUACUUAGCAUUCCCUAAAGGUAGAAAAUACGCAGAGUUUUUUUAAAUUACUAGUGAGUUGAUAUACCAUUGAAAUUGUACACCCCAAAACGAUUUUCUAUCCUCUCACUAGUAUACAUGUACUAUGCAUCCUAAUGACCGUUCAUCCCAUCCAUCUAUUUAGCACAACACAUUAUCUUACUAUACUCUAUGAUUCCUUCCUUGUCUAUAUCUUAGUUCAUCUUUGUUUAUCUAGUUACCCCACUUAGGUCAUUUUAUCCCAUUUACUUCUUUUGUCUCAUGGCAACCUGAUGGAACAUAGCAGAACGUUGUGGGACCUUUUAACCUGGUUUACAAAACUCAGUUGUACGAACCAACGGUAAAAUUGAGUGGAAGGCCCGAUUUCCGAUCUUGGAGCUAAGAGAAAGAAAGAUGGGUUUUCAUUGUUUUGCAAGCCAUUUUACGAGAGGAAAGCAUUAUUUUUUUCUCUUUUCAGAAGAGUCGGAUUUUCAUGGAGAAACGACGUUGUUCAGCAGAAAAUCAACAAAAACUGCACACUCUAAUUUUAGUUUUGCAUGAAGCAUGCUUUUCCUCGGAAACUUUAAAAUUGUGUCUGGAAUUAGUGAGUGCAAUCAUUGAUUGCGGACAAUGUGACAUUCCUACUCACCUGCGUGGUGACGCUGAGUUUGUUAGGUAACAAUGGUUCGAGUCAUACUAACAGCGGAAUUUUUUUUGGUCAAGGUAUAUAUAGCUAGGGGCCCCGCUACUCCCACGAUCACACCGCACCCAAAUACUGGAAAUAGGGCUAGCGAGUUUUUGUCGUAAGGAUUUAUU